rnacentral:lncRNA from 1 species
UUCUAAACACAUGAGAAUCUUCAUUGACAUGUCGUGGUCAAGCCGAUUCAAGAAAUCUGUAUAGAUUUCCGUUUUAUCCUAUAAACAAUACAAUGCCUUGCAGUUUUUCUUGCCAUUUUGAGAAUACACCAAUCUCUUUUAUAUUGAACUUUGCAAUCGAUUCAUUCUUUGGUAACUGCAAUUCAAUUAUUUUCUCCUCAAGACUGCAUAUUCUACUUGAUGAGGAUCUUCUACAUUGUGCAUUGGUGCU